rnacentral:rRNA from 1 species
GUGGGGAAUAUUGGACAAUGGGCGCAAGCCUGAUCCAGCCAUGCCGCGUGUGUGAAGAAGGCCUUUUGGUUGUAAAGCACUUUAAGCGAGGAGGAGGCUACCGAGAUUAAUACUCUUGGAUAGUGGACGUUACUCGCAGAAUAAGCACCGGCUAACUCUGUGCCAGCAGCCGCGGUAAUACAGAGGGUGCAAGCGUUAAUCGGAUUUACUGGGCGUAAAGCGCGCGUAGGUGGCCAAUUAAGUCAAAUGUGAAAUCCCCGAGCUUAACUUGGGAAUUGCAUUCGAUACUGGUUGGCUAGAGUAUGGGAGAGGAUGGUAGAAUUCCAGGUGUAGCGGUGAAAUGCGUAGAGAUCUGGAGGAAUACCGAUGGCAAAGGCAGCCAUCUGGCCUAAUACUGACACUGAGGUGCGAAAGCAUGGGGAGCAAACAGGAUUAGAUACCCGAGUAGUCC